GACGAACGCUGGCGGCAUGCCUAACACAUGCAAGUCGAACGAAGGCUUCGGCCUUAGUGGCGCACGGGUGCGUAACGCGUGGGAAUCUGCCCUUUGGUUCGGAAUAACAGCUGGAAACGGCUGCUAAUACCGGAUGAUGACGAAAGUCCAAAGAUUUAUCGCCAGAGGAUGAGCCCGCGUUGGAUUAGGUAGUUGGUGGGGUAAAGGCCUACCAAGCCGACGAUCCAUAGCUGGUCUGAGAGGAUGAUCAGCCACACUGGGACUGAGACACGGCCCAGACUCCUACGGGAGGCAGCAGUGGGGAAUAUUGGACAAUGGGCGCAAGCCUGAUCCAGCAAUGCCGCGUGAGUGAUGAAGGCCCUAGGGUUGUAAAGCUCUUUUACCCGGGAAGAUAAUGACUGUACCGGGAGAAUAAGCCCCGGCUAACUCCGUG
rnacentral:rRNA from 1 species